UACGUAGGGGGCUAGCGUUGUCCGGAAUCAUUGGGCGUAAAGCGCGUGUAGGCGGUUCGGUAAGUCCGCUGUGAAAGUCGGGGGCUCAACCCUCGAAUGCCGGUGGAUACUGCAGGGCUAGAGUCCGGAAGAGGCGAGUGGAAUUCCUGGUGUAGCGGUGAAAUGCGCAGAUAUCAGGAGGAACACCGAUGGCGAAGGCAGCUCGCUGGGACGGUACUGACGCUGAGGCGCGAAAGCGUGGGGAGCAAACAGG
rnacentral:rRNA from 1 species